rnacentral:rRNA from 1 species
UACGACGGGGGCUAGCGUUGCUCGGAAUCACUGGGCGUAAAGCGCACGUAGGCGGAUUGCUAAGUCAGGGGUGAAAUCCUGGAGCUCAACUCCAGAACUGCCUUUGAUACUGGCGACCUUGAGUCCGGGAGAGGUGAGUGGAACUGCGAGUGUAGAGGUGAAAUUCGUAGAUAUUCGCAAGAACACCAGUGGCGAAGGCGGCUCACUGGCCCGGUACUGACGCUGAGGUGCGAAAGCGUGGGGAGCAAACAGG